rnacentral:tRNA from 1 species
GAGGGUAUAGCUCAAUGGUAGAGGGUGUGAUUAGCAUGCAUGAGGUUCUAGGUUCAAUCCCCAGUAUCUCCA